GCCUGUAGCUCAGUCGGAUAGAGCAACUGCCUUCUAAGCAGUAGGUCGCAGGUUCGAUUCCUGCCAGGCGCG
rnacentral:tRNA from 1 species